rnacentral:rRNA from 1 species
AACGAACGCUGGCGGCAGGCCUAACACAUGCAAGUCGAACGCCCUAGCAAUAGGGAGUGGCGCACGGGUGAGUAACGCGUGGGAACGUGCCUUUCAGUCUGGAAUAACAGCGGGAAACUGCUGCUAAUACCGGAUAUUCUCUACGGAGGAAAGAUUUAUCGCUGAAAGAUCGGCCCGCGUAAGAUUAGGUAGUUGGUAGGGUAAUGGCCUACCAAGCCUACGAUCUUUAGCUGGUCUGAGAGGAUGAUCAGCCACACUGGAACUGAGACACGGUCCAGACUCCUACGGGAGGCAGCAGUGGGGAAUAUUGGACAGUGGGCGCAAGCCUGAUCCAGCCAUGCCGCGUGAGUGACGAAGGCCUUAGGGUUGUAAAGCUCUUUUAUCAGGGACGAUGAUGACGGUACCUGAAGAAUAAGACACGGCUAACUUCGUGCCAGCAGCCGCCGUAA